AAGAGAAGAGUGAAAAUUGUGAAAUUGGGUCACUCCCCGCAGUCCCUAGAGUUGGAUGAGUGAGCCAAAGCGUUUUAUAGCCGACCCAGCCAUUGUCCUAAUCUAGAAACGGCCCGGUUAGCUUUAGCUUAG